rnacentral:lncRNA from 1 species
CUUAAUUAACUGCAUCCUCAAAAGAACACUAUCAGACUGGCUCUGCCGACUUCCAGUUCUGGAACAAGAUGGUUAAACUCAUUUUUCCCUGCUCUGCUCCUCUAAAUACAACUAAGUACCUUGGAAACUAUUCAGCACACAAUGAUAAAGAGCUCUGAAAGCUAGAAGAAAAGAAGGUGUACUUGCAAGAAACCUCAGGACUUGAGUAACAGCAACAUGUCUUGGACGAGACUGAGGAUGUCUACAAGUGGAAGAAAAGCCACUGGAGCAGAAGGUGGGGAGGAUAAAAUUUGGAGCAAGAUUCUCAAGGAAGAAGCAACAAGAUCCUAAGCUCACCAAGCUCCUGUAUCUACUGGAAAAUGGAAGUCCAGUCUUACUAACUUGUGAGCCUUGUCUGAAGGGAGCCAGGGCUUGCCAAUGGAACCACCUCCAUGAGCUACAACUGCUGUUGUCAUUAACACCAUUGUAUCUAUUUUUUGAGAGAGAUAAACUUUUCAUGGUGUUACAUUUUGGAAAAAAAAAAAAAAAAGACUAGGUGAACAGUCAGGUAGGAAAGCAGCAUAACAAACAGUCCCUUAAAUUCUGAUCAUGUAGGACAUUCUUCUUUGCCCU